GACGAACGCUGGCGGCGUGCUUAACACAUGCAAGUCGAACGGAAAGGCCCUGCUUUUGUGGGGUGCUCGAGUGGCGAACGGGUGAGUAACACGUGAGUAACCUGCCCUUGACUUUGGGAUAACUUCAGGAAACUGGGGCUAAUACCGGAUAGGAGCUCCUGCUGCAUGGUGGGGGUUGGAAAGUUUCGGCGGUUGGGGAUGGACUCGCGGCUUAUCAGCUUGUUGGUGGGGUAGUGGCUUACCAAGGCUUUGACGGGUAGCCGGCCUGAGAGGGUGACCGGCCACAUUGGGACUGAGAUACGGCCCAGACUCCUACGGGAGGCAGCAGUGGGGAAUAUUGCACAAUGGGCGGAAGCCUGAUGCAGCAACGCCGCGUGCGGGAUGACGGCCUUCGGGUUGUAAACCGCUUUCGCCUGUGACGAAGCGUGAGUGACGGUAAUGGGUAAAGAAGCACCGGCUAACUACGUGCCAGCAGCCGCGGUGAUACGUAGGGUGCGAGCGUUGUCCGGAUUUAUUGGGCGUAAGGGGCUCGUAGGUGGUUGAUCGCGUCGGAAGUGUAAUCUUGGGGCUUAACCCUGAGCGUGCUUUCGAUACGGGUUGACUUGAGGAAGGUAGGGGAGAAUGGAAUUCCUGGUGGAGCGGUGGAAUGCGCAGAUAUCAGGAGGAACACCAGUGGCGAAGGCGGUUCUCUGGGCCUUUCCUGACGCUGAGGAGCGAAAGCGUGGGGAGCGAACAGGCUUAGAUACCCUGGUAGUCCACGCUGUAAACGGUGGGUACUAGGUGUGGGGUCCAUUCCACGGGUUCCGUGCCGUAGCUAACGCUUUAAGUACCCCGCCUGGGGAGUACGGCCGCAAGGCUAAAACUCAAAGGAAUUGACGGGGCCCCGCACAAGCGGCGGAGCAUGCGGAUUAAUUCGAUGCAACGCGUAGAACCUUACCUGGGUUUGACAUGGAUCGGGAGUGCUCAGAGAUGGGUGUGCCUCUUUUGGGGUCGGUUCACAGGUGGUGCAUGGCUGUCGUCAGCUCGUGUCGUGAGAUGUUGGGUUAAGUCCCGCAACGAGCGCAACCCUUGUUCACUGUUGCCAGCACGUUAUGGUGGGGACUCAGUGGAGACCGCCGGGGUCAACUCGGAGGAAGGUGGGGAUGACGUCAAGUCAUCAUGCCCCUUAUGUCCAGGGCUUCACGCAUGCUACAAUGGCUGGUACAGAGAGUGGCGAGCCUGUGAGGGUGAGCGAAUCUCGGAAAGCCGGUCUCAGUUCGGAUUGGGGUCUGCAACUCGACCUCAUGAAGUCGGAGUCGCUAGUAAUCGCAGAUCAGCAACGCUGCGGUGAAUACGUUCCCGGG
rnacentral:rRNA from 1 species